UACAGAGGUCUCAAGCGUUGUUCGGAUUCAUUGGGCGUAAAGGGUGCGUAGGUGGCGGGGUAAGUCAGGUGUGAAAUUUCGGAGCUUAACUCCGAAACUGCAUUUGAUACUGCCUUGCUUGAGGACUGGAGAGGAGACUGGAAUUCCUGGUGUAGCGGUGGAAUGCGCAGAUAUCAGGAGGAACACCAAUAGCGAAGGCAGCUCACUGGGACGGUACUGACGCUAAGGCGCGAAAGCGUGGGGAGCGAACAGG
rnacentral:rRNA from 1 species